CCCUUAGAUGUUCUGGGCCGCACGCGCGCUACACUGAUGCAUUCAACGAGUUUUACCUUGGCCGAGAGGCCUGGGCAAUCUUUUAAACCUGCAUCGUGAUAGGGAUAGAUUAUUGCAAUUAUUAAUCUUGAACGAGGAAUUCCUAGUAAACGCGAAUCAUCAAUUCGCAUUGAUUACGUCCCUGCCCUUUGUACACACCGCCCGUCGCACCUACCGAUUGAAUGGUCCGGUGAGGCUUUGGGAUCUGAGCGGAAAGAGCGUUUCGCUGUUUCUGCCCGGAAAACUCAGUCGAACCUUAUCAUUUAGAGGAAGGAGAAGUCGUAACA
rnacentral:rRNA from 1 species